AGAGUGAACGCUGGCGGUAGGCCUAACACAUGCAAGUCGAACGGCAGCACAGUGGUAGCAAUACCAUGGGUGGCGAGUGGCGGACGGGUGAGGAAUACAUCGGAAUCUACCUUUUCGUGGGGGAUAACGUAGGGAAACUUACGCUAAUACCGCAUACGCCCUUCGGGGGAAAGCCGGGGAUCGCAAGACCUGGCGCGGAUAGAUGAGCCGAUGUCGGAUUAGCUAGUGUGAGGUAAUGGCUCACCGAAGGUCGACGAUCCGUAGCUAGUCUGAGAGGAUGAUCAGCCACGACUGGAACUGAGACACGUACCGAGUACGUCCUACGGGA
rnacentral:rRNA from 1 species